rnacentral:lncRNA from 1 species
AAGCUGUGUGUGCGGCUGUUCUUUUUUACUCCCUGUUAGAUAAAGCUCAAACAUUCUAAUAAAUCCGUAGCUUGCAUGGAUUAUUUCGUGAACAACCGCUAAAAUAAAAAUCUGUUUCAUUCUCAAAACCAACAAUUGUCAUUUUGAUUUAAAUGUUUUUCUCGUAAGCUACCGUCAAAUCCAAAGUUGACAUUUCGUAACUAAGAAGCCGCCAUGUUGACUUGCUGAAAUCAGUAAAUAUGCGAAUAAUGCAAUAGAAUAGAAAAUCAAACAAAACCUACCUUGAUAAUCAAUUUUAAUACAAUAGUAAACAACAUUUCAAUGGUUCACGUAGCAGAAUACUUUCAACUGUAGCGUUUUCAUUUGUAUGACGUCAUGUUUUG